rnacentral:rRNA from 1 species
AGCAGCCGCGGUAAUUCCAGCUCCAAUAGCGUAUAUUAAAGUUGUUGCAGUUAAAAAGCUCGUAGUUGAAUUUCGGGAUCAAUAUAUUGGUCGUGCCUUCGGUAUGCACUGGUAUUAUUGAUUUCUACCUUCUGACGAACUAUGAUGUCAUUAAUUUGGUGUCAUGGGGAAUCAGGACUGUUACUUUGAAAAAUUAGAGUGUUUAAAGCAGGCACACGCUUGAAUACAUUAGCAUGGAAUAAUGAAAUAGGACGUUUGACCCUAUUUUGUUGGUUUCUAGGAUCGACGUAAUGAUUAAUAGGGAUAGUUGGGGGCAUUAGUAUUCAAUUGUCAGAGGUGAAAUUCUUGGAUUUAUUGAAGACUAACUACUGCGAAAGCAUUUGCCAAGGAUGUUUUCAUUAAUCAAGAACGAAAGUUAGGGGAUCGAAGACGAUCAGAUACCGUCGUAGUCUUAACCAUAAACUAUGCCGACUAGGGAUCGGAUGAUGUUAAUUUUAAUGUACUCAUUAC